rnacentral:rRNA from 1 species
UAACAGUUGGAAACGACUGCUAAUACCGAAUGUAGUGAUUGGAGGGAUUCCUUCGAUCAUUAAAGUGGGGGAUCGUAAGACCUUGCGGUUAAUGAGGAGCCCAUGGGAUAUCAGCUAGUUGGUGUGGUAAUGGCGCACCAAGGCUAAGACGUCUAGGCGGAUUGAGAGAUUGACCGCCAACACUGGGACUGA